UACAACAUAGUAUUAAUGCACUAAAUGUUAUUAGAACUUCGUAGUUAAGCAUGCUUAGGCUAGAGUAGUAUUGGGAUGGGUGAUUGCUCGAGAAGUCCUAGCGUUUUAC
rnacentral:rRNA from 1 species